AAACUCUUAGCAGUGGAUCACUUGGCUCGUGGAUCGAUGAAGAACGCAACUAGCUGCGAUAAAUCGUGCGAAUUGCAGACGCAUUAAGCACAAAAAUUUCGAAUGCACAUUGCACCAUCGGGUUCAUUCCCAAUGGU
rnacentral:rRNA from 1 species